UCAUUAGUCUUUUAAUUGAAGGCUGGUAUGAAUGGUGAGACGAGAAAAUAGCUGUCUCUGAAAUAGAUUUUGAAUUUUAUUUUUAAGUGAAAAAGCUUAAAUGCGUUUGGGGGACGAUCAGACCCUCUGGAGCUUUAUUUAUCCCCUUGUUUACACUUAUUUAAGAUUAUGAAAUAGUCGGGUAAAUUUUGUUGGGGCGACAGGAAGAUUAAAAUAACACUUCUUUUUUAAAACGCUUUUAAGCGAAAUAUUGAUCCUUAGGGAGAGAUUAAAAGAUUAAGUUACCCUAGGGAUAACAGCGUAAUCUUUUUGGAGAGUUCUAAUCGAUAAAAAGGUUUGCGACCUCGAUGUUGGAUUAAGAAAUUGGCAAGGUGCAGAAGUUUUGUUGGAAAGUCUGUUCGACUUU
rnacentral:rRNA from 1 species